AGUGAACGCUGGCGGUAGGCCUAACACAUGCAAGUCGAACGGCAGCACAGUAAGAGCUUGCUCUUACGGGUGGCGAGUGGCGGACGGGUGAGGAAUACAUCGGAAUCUACUUUUUUGUGGGGGAUAACGUAGGGAAACUUACGCUAAUACCGCAUACGACCUACGGGUGAAAGCAGGGGAUCUUCGGACCUUGCGCGAUUGAAUGAGCCGAUGUCGGAUUAGCUAGUUGGCGGGGUAAAGGCCCACCAAGGCGACGAUCCGUAGCUGGUCUGAGAGGAUGAUCAGCCACACUGGAACUAAGACACGGUCCAGACUCCUACGGGAGGCAGCAGUGGGGAAUAUUGGACAAUGGGCGCAAGCCUGAUCCAGCCAUACCGCGUGGGUGAAGAAGGCCUUCGGGUUGUAAAGCCCUUUUGUUGGGAAAGAAAAGCAGCAGGUUAAUACCCCGCUGUUCUGACGGUACCCAAAGAAUAAGCACCGGCUAACUUCGUG
rnacentral:rRNA from 1 species